GACGAACGCUGGCGGCGCGCUUAACACAUGCAAGUCGAACGGAAAGGCCUGCUUUCCCUUGUGGAUUGCGGGUACUCGAGUGGCGAACGGGUGAGUAACACGUGAGUGAUCUGCCCCCAACUUGGGUAUAAGCCUGGGAAACUGGGUCUAAUUCCCGAUAGGACUGCAGGGUGGUGCCUGUGGUGGAAAACGAUUUUCUAGUGGUUGGGGAUGAGCUCGCGGCCUAUCAGCUUGUUGGUGGGGUAAUGGCCUACCAAGGCGGCGACGGGUAGCCGGCCGGAGAGGGUGGACGGCGACAUUGGGACUGGGAUACGGCCCAGACUCCUACGGGAGGCAGCAGUGGGGGAUAUUGCGCAAUGGGCGGAAGCCUGAUGCAGCGACGCCGCGUGGGGGAUGACGGCCUUCGGGUUGUAAACUCCUUGCGACCGCGAGGAAGCCACCUGGUUGGAAGGGUGGUGACGGUAGUGGUAGAAGAAGCACCGGCUAACUACGUG
rnacentral:rRNA from 1 species